UUACAGAAAGUGAAUGGUCCAGGAACACCCAGACAUUAAACAGACAGAAACACUCCAUGGCCAGUUCGCUGGCCACAAACGGCCUUCCGGACAGUACAGAAAACAAAGAGACGAACUCAUCACAAGGACAUAGCAAAACAGCCAGUGAUGCAUCUGUAUCAGGCAUUGGUGGACCUCUCAGCAGCUCUGUUAAAAACAAACACUUAGAUGAUGAGGAAGAUGAAGGAAUGGAAGAGGAGGAACAUGAAGUAAAGAGACUCAAAUUCAACGAGGAUGGCAAAUGAAGAAGAUGAGAUGAAGAUGCAGACGAGCAGGUUGUCGAGAAACCCAGAUCUACAUCGUCCAAAAGCUCCUCAGAUAAGUCGGAGGAUGCUGAAUCACCGUCAUCCAUGUUGCAGGGGGGAGUGAAGAAGAGGAGGAAAGUAAACCUCAUGGUUCAGUUGAACGCUCUGAGGACCAAGAGCCUUCCAGCACACAGCCUGAGUGUCCCGCCGCAGAUUCCAGAGAGGCUUUUACUGAGAGAGAGGUUCCUUGUGGCUCCGAGGACUCCUCAGAAGAGCCCAGUGAUAUGGACCAAUCAGAGCAGAGAGCCCCGGCGGGUGUGGCCUCUAGCCCUGAGGUGAGGAAGGGGAGGAGCCAAGCGAGCAGGUCAGCAGCAGUAGCACUGAUGAAAAUGCCUCUGGACCCACAUCCAGCAGCAGUAGCGUGGAGUCGCCCACAGAGGGCGACUCCGGGUCAGGGCCCUGGACUCAGAGGGCGCAGAGGAGGAGCCUAUGGAGCAGGACUAAAAGCCUGCAGACUACUGCCCUAAACAAUAACUGCGUUCUUUUGUGGAGAUUAAACGGCACACACUUAAGUGGCCUUCCACAAAGGCCAUCAGAAGCAACACCACAGUCUACCACCAUGCGCCUUUUGGUCGAGAGUCCACCUAACUUCUCCAACCUUCCCAAACGGACACUUUAUGCAGAUGUACAUAUGAUUUUUAUUGCUGAAGUCAAGUUUUAAACUUAAUUUUUUUUUUUUUUUUUUUUACAAUUUCUUUCCUUUAAUUUCAUCCAUGUCAUCGGUUUCUGCCAGUCUGUCAAAGCGAUUCGACUUAAGUUCUUUGGUGUCCAGUAAUCACACUGUCGACUCUGACGCCACUAAAUGGCAUAUUCAUGGCUAAAUACAAGUUAAAGUCUAUUGAUAAAGCUGUUGAAGUAUUUCAGUUACUAAAGGAAAUAUUUUCAACAAGAGGAUGUCGCUUGCCCAUAGACUUAUAAUAAUACUUAUAAUAGAUGCGUUUCAGACACACAAUAUUUUGUUGUAAAUGACAGCUUGUUGUUCAAGCUUAACUUGUAUUUAACCAUAUUUUAGUCUUUGUUAAGGAGAACGUUUGAUCUGCAUCCAGUCUUGUUUCUAAGUUUAGGACACCUGCUAGGACGUGUCGUCUCUGCAUUGGUGUAUUAAUAUUUUAGUCACAGUGUCAAACAUCAGGGCAGUGGAGUUAAUCAUCUUGCUCUUUCUGGAGAACCAUAACUGGCUGCUUUUACAGUUAUGUUCAAAGCAAAUACAAGCCAUAGCUAUCUUUGUUCUGUUAAAUAAUUCAAGCCUAGCGUAACAUUUCUUUCUGGUCCUAUGUGUGUAACUGACGGGAUGUAAAAUCUUUUUUCUCACACGCUACCACCUUCGCUUUUGUGUUAUUGUGCAGUCUGCGCUGCAUUGAAGCUAAGUGGUUUGUCAGGUACAUUUACCUCUUGAUUUAAACUGAUUUGAUGAUUCACGUUAAUUUAUACCAACAUUCUGAUCUUGUUUUUGGCAGGUGGUUAUUGAGUGCUCUGACUAGCUCAAUUACAAUGUCAUUUGUGACAGUCCAACCCUGAGUUGUCCCACCGAUAACAGCCGGCUGCCGUUUUGCAGCUGUGUGAUUUUUGAUAUUUAGAAUUUUUAAAUUUCUGUAAACUAGUGUUUUGUAGAGCAUUGUGUUCACGGCCUUUUGUGCAUCCAUGUAUUUUUUUUGUUGGUGUAUUACUGAAUGCGUGUGGUUUUAAUACAGUAUUCAGAUGAAGCAAUAAAUGUUAUUGUUUUAAAUGUU